AGUGGGUAAUAUACAUAACACUUAACUGUAUAUGCAUUGAUAUUUUGCAGUUGGAGAGAGCAGAGGUUCACCUGGAAGGGAUAGAUACAAUUUUAAAAUUGUAUCUGGCGAGCAAGAAUUUCUUACUUCCAUCUGUGCAGUAAGCGAUGUUUUGUGGAUGGCAAAGACUUAUUCCUGAAGGAAUCGAUAUAGGGGAACCUCUUACUGAUUGUUUAAAGGAUGUUGAUUUGAUCCCACCUUUUAAUCGGAUGCUGCUGGAAGUCACCUUUGGCAAGCUGUAUGCUUGGACUGUUCAGAACAUUCAAAAUGUUCUGAUGGAUGCCAGUGCCAAAUUUAAAGAGCUUGGUAUCCAGCCGGUUCCCCUGCAGACCAUCACCAGUGAGAACCCACUGGGACCGAGCCUGGGGAGCAUCCCGCAAGCCCGCUUCCUCCUGAUGAUGCUCAGCAUGCUCACCCUGCAGCACAGCGCAAACAACCUCGACCUCCUGCUCAAUUCCGGCACGCUGGCCCUCACUCAGACGGCACUGCGCCUGAUUGGUAGGUCUGCACCGGCUUGAGAGCCUUUGGGAAAACAUCAAGAUUUUGCUUUGAUUUCUUUUUUUUUUUUUAAAGCUUUUUGUAAAUUAUGGUAAGACACAAAUAGCAGAAAGUGUAGCAUUUUAAUGUCACAAUUCAGCGGUAUUAAAUACAUUCACAGUUUUCUAGAGUCAUCACCACUGUCUAGUUGUAGAACUUUUUCAUCACUAUAAAUGCACCCCAUUUAGCCAUCAGUCCUGACUCCCCUGCUCUCCAGCCCCUGGUAGUCAC
rnacentral:lncRNA from 1 species